rnacentral:rRNA from 1 species
UUGGAGGGCAAGUCUGGUGCCAGCAGCCGCGGUAAUUCCAGCUCCAAUAGCGUAUAUUAAAGUUGUUGCAGUUAAAAAGCUCGUAGUUGAAUUUCGGGAUCAGCAGGUUGGUCGUGCCUCUGGUAUGCACUGGUUUCGCUGAUUCCUCCUUUCUGAAGAACUGUAAUGUCAUUAAUUUGGUGUUGCAGGGAAACAGGACUGUUACUUUGAAAAAAUUAGAGUGUUUAAAGCAGGCUAACGCUUGAAUACAUUAGCAUGGAAUAAUGAAAUAGGACGUUUGAUCCUAUUUUGUUGGUUUCUAGGAUUGACGUAAUGAUUAAUAGGGAUAGUUGGGGGCAUUAGUAUUCAAUUGUCAGAGGUGAAAUUCUUGGAUUUAUUGAAGACUAACUACUGCGAAAGCAUUUGCCAAGGAUGUUUUCAUUAAUCAAGAACGAAAGUUAGGGGAUCGAAGACGAUCAGACACCGUCGUAGUCUUAACCAUAAACUAUGCCGACUAGGGAUCGGAUGAUGUUAAUUUUUUAAUGACUCAUUCGGCGCCUUACGGGAAAC